UACGUAGGGGGCUAGCGUUGUCCGGAAUCAUUGGGCGUAAAGCGCGUGUAGGCGGCCCGGUAAGUCCGCUGUGAAAGUCGGGGGCUCAACCCUCGGAUGCCGGUGGAUACUGUCGGGCUCGAGUACGGAAGAGGCGAGUGGAAUUCCUGGUGUAGCGGUGAAAUGCGCAGAUAUCAGGAGGAACACCAAUUGCGAAGGCAGCUCGCUGGGACGUAACUGACGCUGAGACGCGAAAGCAUGGGGAGCAAACGGG
rnacentral:rRNA from 1 species